rnacentral:rRNA from 1 species
CCUACGGUGGACAGCAGUGAGGAAUAUUGGUCAAUGGCCGUAAGGCUGAACCAGCCAAGUAGCGUGAGGGAAGACUGCCCUAUGGGUUGUAAACCUCUUUUAUGCGGGGAUAAAGGUGUCCACGUGUGGAUGUUUGCAGGUACCGCAUGAAUAAGGACCGGCUAAUUCCGUGCCAGCAGCCGCGGUAAUACGGAAGGUCCGGGCGUUAUCCGGAUUUAUUGGGUUAAAAGGGUGCGCAGGCGGAGGUGCAAGUCAGCGGUCAAAUUGCGGGGCUCAACCCCGUACUGUCGUUGAAACUGCAUCCCUUGAGUGCGCGAGAAGUAUGCGGAAUGCGUGGUGUAGCGGUGAAAUGCAUAGAUAUCACGCAGAACUCCGAUUGCAAAGGCAGCAUACCGGCGCGCAACUGACGCUCAUGCACGAAAGCGUGGGUAUCGAACAGGAUUAGAUACCCCUGUAGUC